UGGGGAAUUUUGGACAAUGGGCGCAAGCCUGAUCCAGCAAUGCCGCGUGCGGGAUGAAGGCCUUCGGGUUGUAAACUGCUUUUGUACGGAGCGAAAAGGUCUGCCCUAAUACGGUGGGCUCAUGACGGUACCGUAAGAAUAAGCACCGGCUAACUACGUGCCAGCAGCCGCGGUAAUACGUAGGGUGCGAGCGUUAAUCGGAAUUACUGGGCGUAAAGCGUGCGCAGGCGGUUAUAUAAGACAGAUGUGAAAUCCCCGGGCUCAACCUGGGAACUGCAUUUGUGACUGUAUAGCUAGAGUACGGCAGAGGGGGAUGGAAUUCCGCGUGUAGCAGUGAAAUGCGUAGAGACGUGGAGGAACACCGAUGGCGAAGGCAGCCCCCUGGGAUAACACUGACGCUCAUGCACGAAAGCGUGGGGAGCAAACA
rnacentral:rRNA from 1 species